CCCAUCGUAAACUACAAUGAUACAACUCAUCACUACCUGUAUUCAAUAUAUUGCACGUUGGACAUUCGUAAGACAAACGCUUUGAAGGCAAAGUUAAAACCAGCCUCGAGCGCAUCAACUGUGUUCCCCAAGGGGCCAGCAAUCACACCCACCGAGGUGCCAAUGGAAUUGUCAACGAAGGACAAGAUAUUCACCAUACUCCGUGACCCGGCGUAUAGGGAUAUCGCGCAUGGCGUCAGCCUGAAAUUGAUUCGCAGUGCAUUAGACAUCAGUCAGGACGAAAUAAUGAAAGUUAUCUCGGAGCAGAUUUAUCUCGGCUUGAUCUACACAACAGUCGACAACAACCACUUCAAGUCCUCCAUGUGAAAAUGUGGAUGCUCCGUUUCAUGGAUUAAUUAGAUUUAUUAUGUACUGCACUCGAAUGUUUAAUUAUAAUUUUCAAGCAAGUUUUUAUGGACUGCAUUAGAUGUGGUUGUAAU